UGGAGGUUCUGAACUGCAGGUGCCACCAUC
rnacentral:piRNA from 1 species